rfam:Gossypium arboreum cultivar AKA8401 contig_66482_1, whole genome shotgun sequence.
AGCCCAUGGUGAGGGCAUCUUCUCAAAAGGUCCUUGUAUCUCUCUCAUGCAUCAUAGAGUGUGUCUAGAUCCAUUUGCACAAAAGAAGAGAUAUCAUUCCUCAAUUC